AAGUGCCGUACUCGUACAUCACCAUUUUCAAAAAAAAAACUUAUGGUAUUUCUUUUCAUGCAUAGGCAGGUCAAAAAAUAUAUUUGCAUUUAUGCUAAGCACCAUGUCAAGCUCAACUAUUUUAUAUUCAAUAUCGUUUUAAGGGUGCAUUCCUCGCCAUAACAAGGGAUAAGUGUGAAGUGAGAUAUUUUUGAAUGUGCAAAAAAAUAUUAAGGAAAAAAUAGUUGAGUUCCAACCUGUAUUCACAUUAGUUUUUCACGAAGCUUUAAGUAAAACACAUGUUCACUUUUUAAUUGUAUCUUAGAUAUUAUAAUAUUAUUCAUUCUUAUACAUUCUUGCUCUAAUCCAAAAAUUGUUUCUAUUUAUAAUUUCUUUAACCACAGCAUAGAUAGUCGAAAAAAUGACUUUAACACAUAUUUCUAUUCACUGAAAAAUGUGAAGUUGGUUGCCAUCAAAGGCUAAUCGUCUGUGGAAAUCAUAAGAAAUAAAAACCAUUAAAAUCCAAAAAGUUUUUGUAGAGCCUUAUCCUAAGUCUAUAUUUUAUAAAUAUUUUAUUUCUAAUAUUUUUUGUUAUCUUAGUUGUUUUGUGGUAAAACUACUGCAGCCAUCACGUACAAGUUUUGUACUAUAGGAAUAGUUUUUUUUGUUAAAUACACUUCCUCGAAAGGGGUUAAUACGGCCAGGCCGUAAUAAAAAACAACAAACAAACAAACAAACAAUAUUUUUUUUUAAAGAAAUCUAAUAGUAACAAUACUAGAAUCGCAUCAUUUAUUACUACAUUAUCUUAAAAUGUAGAUGAAAUACAAGAUACGCAAAAAUAAGAUACUAAAAUUGAAUUAAGCUUUCUGACAGUCAACUGUCCCAUUUUGGUCUAUUAUACUGUAUUUUCCCCUGCGAACGAAUGGCAAAGCAAAUAAGCAAUAGAAUGAUCCGCCCAUUUUCUGUCGAUUUAAUAGGAAGCCAUGAUUGUAACCACAGUAAUUUAUUCAUUCUAACGAAGGUGUGUGUUAAACAUUCACGCAUCUACUCCUUUGAAAAGCGAAACAUUGAGAGAAAAAGAGAGAGAAACAAGAGAGCGAAUGAAAAGAAACCAUCUGCGGGUUGAAGUAGAGUGUGCGCACAAAUGCCCGUCUAUUUAUAAAGAUUUUGUCAUGAGUUGAUUCAAACCCUCCGAAACUCUCUGCCAUGUUUGCAAAAGUGAGGCAGCAGCAUCCCACAUAGUUUUUAUAGCUCCAUUUAUGUACGCAUAAAUGGGACAGUUAUAGUGAUUUUUAUGACGUCUGCUUUGUUAGUAUGAGUGCACGGUUCGACUAGAAACGUGUUUGAGGAAGGCUCGUGGCAUUGUCAUACUCUCACGGUUUUACGAGUUUUACGACACUUUUAUGCGAGAUAGAAUGGGACAUAAAAUCACGGGAAGUUUUCAUUUGAUAGUCGUAUCGUGCAGCUUCCUUUUCUGACUGGCCUACCACAGAAUCGUCCUCCGAAGACAAAGAGAAUCCAUAAGCAGUAGUAAACAAGGGCGAGUCUACAUGCUACUGAACGCGGACGUAACUGAACCACGGUUUCUGAAGAGUGUCUGUUUUAUUGAGUGUGAAAGAGUCGAGAAUUGCCCAUUUGUGCGAUAAAAGUGAUGAUCACACUCUGCCUUAGGCUGCCUCACACUGUUUGCGACGAGCGGUUUCUUGUGGCUGAUUCGACCUCAGGUUUCAUUUCCUACCAUGGGUGUUUCCUUGCAUUGUAUUGUGAAUGAUUCUAGCAAUGCUUGCUGUGAACAACGACUGUUCAAAACCAACGACCGUAACUAGCAUUAGUGACAUGGAACAAAGCAUAAAAUAACCCACCGACGGCUCUGGGCCUUCAUUCUUCAUUCACUGUCUUUCUUUCCAAAGAUUGUCUUUGUUCAAAAUUAAUGCAACAGAACAUGCAAGAAUGUCCGCAUUGGUGCUGUUGUUAAUGAAUUAAACGAAUUAAAAUUAUAUUUUGAUUAAAUUUAA